AAUAGUUUUAAAACAUCACCUUUACCUCAAAGGUUGAAAUGAAUUCUAGGCUAAUCUAAAUCUGUAAAUAGCAAUGUUUUCCCAGCUGGCUUCUUGUGUUCAUCUCAAUAUGAAACAUUUGUAUUCUGGCUUGUACUAACUGUGUCAGUGUUUUUCUUCCUUUAAGCCCAGAAACAUAUUAUUCUUUUUUGCUUACAGAGUAAGGACUGUGAUGGGAACUUUGCCCAAGGGAGAAGCAGAAGCAAGAUAAGUAAUCCACCAAAACAUGAGCAGAAUAGAGCCUGUCACAAAGUGGACACUCAGACACUAUUAAAGGAAUGAAUCAAUGGCUGCUGGUGGUUAUAACUCAUCUGGAGGAGGCAGAAAUGUACAGUUAUAGAUUAAGCCAAGUAAAAUGUAACAGCUCUAAGGCACAAGAGGCCUGUAAUGGAGGAGAAAACAAAUAGCCGAAGUAAAUUUGACAUGAUCAUGAGUGAAGUUAAGGUUUGUAUGGUCUGGUAAAACUAAGGUCCUGAGUUAAUAUUUAUAUGAUAAGAGUGCAAAAACCCUUGCUUAAUUUUGUCUAUUUCAUACUAUUACUGUAAUAAUUAUCUGGAAAGCAUCUAUUUAUAUUAGUAAUAUGGCAUUUUCCCCUUGAAAAUAAUAUCAUUUUAUACUGUGCUUCUAACAGUGUAAAGGAAAAUGUACUCAUUAUUUUGCCUUGAACUUUUAAAUUUCUUCUUCUCAACACCAAUUGUUUUUGACUGUGAAACAACUAGAGAUUCCUUUUGGCUUACUUUUUCUAUUCUUUCAUAAAUGACUUUGAUAUUUGUUGUUACUUUCACUUUUAUAUAUGAUAAAUAUUUCUUGUAAUUUUGAAGACAAAGAAAAAAGCUUAUAGAUUCACUGUAAGGUUCUGGAGAAUUCUUACUAUAUUCGGCACCUGAUUAAUAAUACUUUAACAGACAAUAAGUUUUUAUUUAGCCAUCUGCAAAUCACCUGAUUCACUUGCCACCUCAGUGUUUAAAGAUAGGUAGGAAUGACUUAGCAUGUUUUUUUUGAUGAUUUUUAGAAUUCGUCAAUGCCAGCUAAUAAUACCCAAUAUCAUGCAGUUCAACUGUUAGUGUCAUGCUUAUAUUCCUAUUAAUAAUAUUUUUAAAAAAUGAUAGUGCGUGCAAAGAUGCAUGGAUGUAGAUUAUACAAAGAAUUUUAGGGUGCCUGGGUGGCUCAGUUGAUUAAGUGUUCAACUUGGGCUCAGGUCGUGAUCUCAUGGUUGGUGACUUUGAGGCCUGUGUUGGGCUCUGCACUGACAGCUAAGAGCCUGGAGGCUGCUUUGGAUUCUGUGUCUCCCUCUCUCUCUGACUCUCCCCCAAUUGUGUUCUCUCUCUCUCAUAAAUAAAUAAAUAAAAAUUGAAAAAAGUGGGGGGAAC
rnacentral:lncRNA from 1 species